AUUAUCCACAUUACCGAUCACAGUUUGGAGACACGACUUUCACCAAAGUGUUUGUUGGGGGACUGGCAUGGGAGACGCCGACUGAGGAAAUGCGUAGGUAUUUUGAGCAGUUUGGUGACAUUCUUGAAGCUGUUAUCAUCACUGACAAGAACACUGGCAAAUCUAAAGGCUAUGGAUUUGUAAGUAAAACGUUCGCAUAUAUAUAUAUAUAUAUACACAUACCUAAAUAUAUAGCGUCUUUUGUUUUUGAUCUUCCUAUAUGAUAAUUAUUUUCAGGUUACAUUUCGUGAUGCUGAAUCGGCAAGAAGGGCUUGUGCUGACCCGAACCCAGUUAUUGAUGGACGAAGAGCAAAUUGUAAUAUUGCUUCACU
rnacentral:lncRNA from 1 species